ensembl:snoRNA SNORA62 Small nucleolar RNA SNORA62/SNORA6 family
UUUGCACACAGUUAGAACUUAGAGCUGAGGCCUUCUCGGCCAAUGAACUCUGAGUGUAGGAUGUGUGCUACAGUAACAUGGCAGACUUUUCGCUAAUGCCACAAGGUGCUUUAAAGCUCCAGUGACUGGUUGUAAGUAAUUCCUGCCACAGCU